UACAGAGGGCUCAAGCGUUGUUCGGAUUCAUUGGGCGUAAAGGGUGCGUAGGCGGCGCUGUAAGUCGGGCGUGAAAUUUCGGAGCUUAACUCCGAAACUGCAUUCGAUACUGCCGUGCUUGAGGACUGGAGAGGAGACUGGAAUUUACGGUGUAGCAGUGAAAUGCGUAGAGAUCGUAAGGAAGACCAGUGGCGAAGGCGGGUCUCUGGACAGUUCCUGACACUGAGGCACGAAGGCCAGGGGAGCAAACGGG
rnacentral:rRNA from 1 species